rnacentral:rRNA from 1 species
UACGAAGGGGGCUAGCGUUGUUCGGAAUUACUGGGCGUAAGGCGCACGUAGGCGGGUUAUUAAGUCAGGGGUGAAAUCCCGGAGCUCAACUCCGGAACUGCCUUUGAUACUGGUAAUCUAGAGAUCGGAAGAGGUUAGUGGAAUUCCCAGUGUAGAGGUGAAAUUCGUAGAUAUUGGGAAGAACACCAGUGGCGAAGGCGACUAACUGGUCCGAUACUGACGCUGAGGUGCGAAAGCGUGGGGAGCAAACAGG